rnacentral:piRNA from 1 species
UUUGUUUGUCUAGAAGAGAGGGC